UACGUAGUUAGCCGGGGCUUCUUAGUCAGGUACCGUCAUUUUCUUUCCUGCUGAUAGAGCUUUACGUACCGAAAUACUUCUUCACUCACGCGGCGUCGCUGGAUCAGGGUUUCCCCCAUUGUCCAAUAUUCCCCACUGCUGCCUCCCGUAGGAGUUUGGGCCGUGUCUCAGUCCCAAUGUGGCCGUCCACCCUCUCAGGCCGGCUACUGAUCGUUGCCUUGGUGGGCCGUUACCCCGCCAACCAGCUAAUCAGACGCGGGCCCAUCCCAUACCACCGGAGUUUUUCACACACCUUCAUGCGAAGCUGUGCGCUUAUGCGGUUUUAGCACCUGUUUCCAGGUGUUAUCCCCCGGUAUGGGGCAGGUUGCCCACGCGUUACUCACCCGUCCGCCACUAACUUACACUUCCGUUAGUCAAUGCAAGCAUCUCCUGCUUCUGUGUAAGUCCGUUCGACUUGCAUGUGUUAGGCACGCCGCCAGCGUUCAUCCUGAGCCAGGAUCAAACUCU
rnacentral:rRNA from 1 species